rnacentral:rRNA from 1 species
UACGUAGGGUGCGAGCGUUGUCCGGAAUUAUUGGGCGUAAAGAGCUCGUAGGCGGUGUGUCACGUCGGCCGUGAAAACCUGCAGCUUAACUGUGGGCGUGCGGUCGAUACGGGCAUCACUGGAGUUCGGCAGGGGAGACUGGAAUUCCUGGUGUAGCGGUGAAAUGCGCAGAUAUCAGGAGGAACACCGGUGGCGAAGGCGGCAUCCUGGACCAAUUCUGACACUGAGGCACGAAGGCCAGGGGAGCAAACGGG